ACGACCUCACCUAGGAGAUCUCCAUGCUGCAACACGGCUCUGGAAAAGGACCCACUUUCCAUGAGCUGCAACUUCAAAGAAGUCAUACAUAGCCCGGAUUCUUAUAUAAAUCUCCGACAACAUGCAGCAUAUAAAGCAUCAAAUUAGAAGGAUUAAAAGUGGUCUAACAGCAACCCCUCUUACACUAUGGAAGGUAAGUUCUCUUUUUAAAUUCUAGGUGAUGCAGUUUUUAUUUUGAAAUUUGUCUUGAUUUAUCUCAAUUUGUUUUAGUUAGUUUAUAAUUUUUUUCAUUAUAGCGCACUGUAAUUCUACAUCUAUAAAUUGAAAUCUGACAACUUAAAAGCCCUUUUUAAUUUUUCUAACUAUUCUAUGACAUUUUAGACUCCUUGAACUUGAUUUUUGAAUCUUUCUUGGGUCAAAUAUGGUUUUCCAAUUAGGAGAUUUAAAUCAAUUUUUCAGAAGGUUCAAUUUUCACUCUGUUUUUGACAUUCAGUCUUGUUUUACAAAAUUAAAUUACUAAACGGUCUCUUUAAUUUAUUUUAACAUUUUAUUUUAAUCUAGACUCCUUAAAUUUAAUUUUUGAUACAUAAAAUAUCAAUAAAUAAUUUCUGAAAUGAGAGAUAUAAUUUUUUCUUCUUGCACACACUGCACAAGUGCUUUUCUGAAUUUGAGAGAUGUUUAUUUAUUUUUAAAUAUGUUGUGAAUGUGAUAUUUCUCUGAGACUAUUUUUCAUAUAUAAUAGAAAUAUUAAUAUAGUUGUGUGAUUUUUUUUAUGAUUUUAAGACAUUUCUAAGUUAAUUAUAAAAAUCAAUUUUUGAAUACCUUAAAAGAUGCUCUGUUCUGGACCUAUUAUCAUCGUUAUGUAAUCUGGUACUAAAUGAGGGCUGGUUAAUUAAUUUGGUCACUUAGAUGAUAAACUAGACAUAUAGGAGAUGCUCUCUAAAAAUAUUCUUGAUAAAACUUAACUUCUAGGUAUUUGUUUUAGAUUUAUUUUUUACAGUCUUCUAUUCUAAUCAUUUGCUAACUUUUUUCUGUGAGGUAACCCCUUUGUGAAUAAAUUUGUUAUUGAUUGGAAUAUAAUCAAAUAAUUUGGCCUAUUGGAUGUUUAUCUAGACAUGUUAAAGAUGUUACCUAAUUUUUAUUUUGGUGAGAUAACAUUUCUUGAUAUUUAUUUGGAGUUUAUUUUGUGAACCGAUUUUCUACCCUUUUAAUAAUAUUUCUUUGGCUUUUGGUAUUUUAGUCACUUUUGAUCAUACUUGUGAACUUUCCUUGACUUUAGACAUUCUAAGUGUAUAUAUGUAGGUUUAGUUUAUUUAUUUAUUUAUUAUUAUUUAAUCUUAUCAUUAUUAUUGGUGAAUUAACCUCAUUUUUAUAGAAUCACUGACGCUUGCUACACAGGUACGCUCUCUAUCUUCCCAUUCUAAGUGUAUAUAUAUAGGUUUAGUUUUAUUUAUUUAUUAUUAUUUAAUCUUAUCAUUAUUAUUGGUGAAUUAACCUCAUUUUUAUAGAAUCACUAGUGCUUGCUACACAGGUACGCUCUCUAUCUUCUCAUUUUAAAGUUCCAUGAAUAUGUUUGUCAUUAAGAACUCACUACUACAAAAAAUUAAAUUAAUAACACUUUAUUUCUUGAAGCUUGUAAAAAAUAUCAUUAUUUAUCUCUAAAAUUAAUAAUUAUUGAUGCUCACACAUUCUUGGCGCUUUACAAGGAGAAGCAAUGGCGUUUUUAAAUAAUGGCUCUUUUGUAUGGAUGUUGUAUUGAAGAAGAUAGACGGAUUCUGGUUUAUGAAUGUAUAAAAAAUAAGAGCCUUGAUCAAGCUCUUUUUGGUGAGAAUGCUUAAAAUAUUUUGCAUCUUGCACUUUAUGUUUUUAUUUUUUAUUUUAUUUUAUUUACCACACCUAUACUGUGUUCUGAUAAAGAAUUCAAAUUAUAUUUCCAUUAACUUUAAAAAUUUGAUGUUUCUCUCUAUUUCUUAAUUUGGGGGUUGCAACAAUUAUUUGGCUUGUUUUAAUGAUGUAGGAGAUGAAAGGACCUUAAAAGAUUCAAAAUACUAACUUAAACUGUACCAACAGUAAUUUUGGCUUGGGAAUUUGACAGUGUCAAUGAUUGAUUUUCCAUGUUUUCUUUCUAACUAUCUAGAAUUUUAAUUUUAGUUGAAUGUUAAUAGAAAUAUUAGACACUAUCACAUCUUAUCUCUCUUCUUCAUGUUUUCAUUUAUUAAUUAUAAUUUAUAAUUUUUCUUUUUUUAAUAUAUUUAUCUAUCUAUUUAUA
rnacentral:lncRNA from 1 species